UGUGCAAAAUUAACACCAAUGUAGAAGCUUCAAAAAUACAAUAUUGCAAGUAGGCUAGCAUAUGUCAGCAGCAUGUUGAAGUUCGUUGAGUUUGAACGAGGAAGUAAGCAAGCAUACAGAGCCGAGGGACAAUAGGUGCAGGUGGUGGAGAGUGCUCGCCCUAUUGAGGCUACAUGAUAAGAACUCACUCACUGGUGGAGCAGGUAGGCUAUGUGUGACAUGCCAUGCUGACGAUGAUGAUUAUAAUGACUUAUUAAUUGCGAUAAUGUACUGAUAUGGUAAUGCUAACAUAGUAAGGCCGUGCUGUGAUUACAUAUAUAGCCUAUUCUAUCGGUCCAAAAGGUGCGUCGGCCCACCGGGAAAAUGCCCGGUAUGCCAGAUGGCCAGUCCGCCCAUGUCCAUGUGUGCAUAUUUGUGUGUAUUGGAUAAGUAGCUGUUGAAUCCGACCCUGUUCCAGCGGAGUUUCAGGGACAAAUAUUUGAAGCAUUUCUUUAUAAAUUAAUAUUUAAAAACACACAGUAAUAAUAUUAAUUGUAGGCAUUUAACAUUAAUCACAAUCAUAACUUUUUUUGGGCACAAUGUCCCGGAUUUCCACAAAUCAAAUGUGGCAACACUAUAUGUUGUCUCAAGCCAGUUGGUAUUUUACUAACUCUUAGCAAAUAUGGAAUAGAUUCACUCUCAGUGGCCUGCGGUAUGAUCUGUGGCUUUGCGUGAUAUUUUGUGAGUACAUGAGCUCUUUGAGGCAUGUUAGCAGUGCUAGCUGUUAGACAUGCUAAUGGUAGCCAUGGCUACAUGCCAGUGGAAUGGCAUACUAGUGCUAAGUGUGGCUCCGUCAGGUUUGCAUCAGUGUUAGCAGUGGCUGGAUCUGUGUGGUGCGUUAGCAGUAGCUUUGAUCACGCUAGCAUUAAUGGAGUGAGCUGUAGCUAACUGUGACAGUGCCUUAGCAUGUAUAGUCCUAAUGGUAAACGCUAUGUGUAGUGUGACAGUGGCCCUCUCAUGACACUUACUGAACGAUCAGACAGGACGCAGUUUUUGCAGUGAGGUGCCUUUGUAUGUUGUGUUUUGUAUGGGCAGUAAGCGUUUUGUGUUUUUUGCGCCUUGUGUUUUUUGCGCCUGCUGCACUUUGCGUUUCUGUGGAGGCGCCCUAUGCGCCUUGAAUUAAACCAAAAUUCAACUCGAAGCAGUAAAGCGCCCGCAUUUUUAUGAAAACAUAGUGCACCUCGCAUUUUAUAAGCGGCAAAGCGUGUCCUGUCUGAUCGUUCCCUAACUUUGGCUAAGGCUGGCUCACGCCAGACGCUCUGCCACAUGCACUGCAGCCUCGUAAGGCUAGUCGGGCUAAUCAGACUUGUUGUUAAAGUGACUUGAUCCUAAUCAGGCUAAUCAGACUCAAAGUGACUUGAUCCUAAUCCAAUUGCAAGUAAUAGUGUAUCACUUGUAAUCUGACUAUUCUAAGAGCUAUAAUACCAUUGUGUUAAAGUUAUAUAUGUGUGUUAAAGAUCUGCCACAAAGUAAUAUUGUGUUAAAACUCUAUUUGUGGUUGUUACGAGUGGGGUGGGAAUUGAGUUUUAAUGUCUGUAGUGCUAGAGGGGUCAUUAUGGGAUGGAUGUCAUCAUAUUGUAUCACCAGGGGCUUUGUAAGGUCUGCCUGUUAUCAUUUGUCCAGCAGGGGGCGUUGUAAGGCCUAUCUGUUAUUGUCCAGCAGGUGGCGCUAUAAGGCCUGUCUGUUUUGUCAUGUUAGUUGCAUGUAUACCACACAGCAUGGGCAGUGUCAUGGGGUGGAGGCAUGUUGGGGAAUGUGCUUACUGGUGAUGAUUCUUGUCCAGUUCCCAAUGCCAUCUAUGUUUCCGAUUGGCUGAAUAAUGUAUUGCUUUCUGAUUGGCUGAAUAGAUUGUUGAGUUCCAUUGUUGAGCAGUUCUGGCUGGACCUCAGAGACACCCCACGGGUGUGUUCUAAUGCCCAGAUACCCCACGGGUGUAUUCUAAUGCCCCAGAUACCCCACGGGUGUAUUCUAAAGCCCCAGAUACCCCACGGGUGUAUUCUAAUGCCCUGUACGCCCCUGCUGUGUGGUGAGCACUGAGAGUGGACGCUUAAAGCCGAUGGCCGAGUCGCUCCUCUCCUAUCCAGUGAUGUGUGAAGUGAAGUGGACCCACUGGACAGUGAUGUGUGGAGUGGUCCCACUGGACGAGUGAGCAAGCAAACUGAACACUGAAAUAGUUUCAGAUGCAUUUAAACAGAGAACCUGUGAUUGGCAGCAUUUAAGCAGAGGCACCUCCCUUCGGAUGAGAUACAAUCUAAUUGGACAAUCUUGUGAUUAUUAUUAAAAUUGUGGCCAUAUAGAUAGAUAGAUAUAUAGAUACUUUAUUGAUCCCCAAGGGGAAAUGCAAGAAUAUGAUUGGACGACUCCAGCAGCCACUUUAAGCUUUCAGCUCUCCGUGUGUUUUUGAAUUGUUUUGUGGAAGACCAUUCGACUCGCAGACGAUACACUCUUGUUUAUCUUUUUGGAGGUUGACUCUGUCAGUGCCAGAUUGAAUCUGUCUGAAAAAUAAAGCCUUUUACACCAAC